rnacentral:rRNA from 1 species
GUGCCAGCAGCCGCGGUAAUACGUAGGUGGCAAGCGUUGUCCGGAAUUAUUGGGCGUAAAGCGCGCGCAGGCGGUCCUUUAAGUCUGAUGUGAAAGCCCACGGCUCAACCGUGGAGGGUCAUUGGAAACUGGGGGACUUGAGUGCAGAAGAGGAAAGUGGAAUUCCAAGUGUAGCGGUGAAAUGCGUAGAGAUUUGGAGGAACACCAGUGGCGAAGGCGACUUUCUGGUCUGUAACUGACGCUGAGGCGCGAAAGCGUGGGGAGCAAACAGGAUUAGAUACCCUGGUAGUCC